rnacentral:rRNA from 1 species
AGUGAACGCUGGCGGUAGGCCUAACACAUGCAAGUCGAACGGCAGCACAGAGGAGCUUGCUCCUUGGGUGGCGAGUGGCGGACGGGUGAGGAAUACAUCGGAAUCUACUCUGUCGUGGGGGAUAACGUAGGGAAACUUACGCUAAUACCGCAUACGACCUACGGGGGAAAGCAGGGGAUCUUCGGACCUUGCGCGAUUGAAUGAGCCGAUGUCGGAUUAGCUAGUUGGCGGGGUAAAGGCCCACCAAGGCGACGAUCCGUAGCUGGUCUGAGAGGAUGAUCAGCCACACUGGAACUGAGACACGGUCCAGACUCCUACGGGAGGCAGCAGUGGGGAAUAUUGGACAAUGGGCGCAAGCCUGAUCCAGCCAUACCGCGUGGGUGAAGAAGGCCUUCGGGUUGUAAGCCCUUUUGUUGGGAAAGAAAUCCAUCUGGUUAAUACCCGGGUGGGAUGACGGUACCCAAAGAAUAAGCACCGGCUAACUUCGUGCCAGCCGCCGCGGUAA